UCGACAUCUGCGGAAGAGACCGGCACGCAGGCCCUUGCAGGCUUGCGCGCAGGCGCCGAAGGAGCAACCGCCCCGGAACCUCUCAGGCAAAAGGACCGCAGAUUGAUG
rnacentral:ncRNA from 2 species